CACGUAGGGGGCGAGCGUUGUCCGGAUUUACUGGGCGUAAAGCGCGCGUAGGCGGAUCGCUAAGUCAGGGGUGAAAUCCCAGAGCUCAACUCUGGAAUUGCCUUUGAUACUGACGAUCUGGAGUUCGGGAGAGGUGAGUGGAAUUCCGAGUGUAGAGGUGAAAUUCGUAGAUAUUCGGAGGAACACCAGAAGCGAAGGCGGCUCACUGGCCCGAUACUGACGCUGAGGCGCGAAAGCGUGGGGAGCAAACAGG
rnacentral:rRNA from 1 species